UAUUUUUAUUUCCUAGUUACAAAGAACAAGAUUGUUUUAGAUAUUUAAUGAUAACAUUAAAAUGAUUCCUUGAUGUUUCCAUAAAACUUAAAAGGUCAAAAUAAAGCCUAACUUUUUCCUCACAAGGGUGUUGAAUGAAUAAAAAGAUAUUAAUUUAUUGAAAAUGUUAAAUGGUUUUAUAAAAGAUGAUGAAAAAGAAUGAUUCUGUUAUUGGGCUAAAGGAAUUUUAUUUCAUAUUUCAUGAAAUCUGAAAAUAUUUUCUCUGAUUGCAGAAACUAUUAUAUAUACAAAUAAAAUUUUAAAAAUAAUAAAUUGCCCCCUCUCCCUAGUUCUUAUUGGUACUAAAUUAUAUUAUCCUAUACACAUACUUAUAUCAUAUAGAUAUAUAUUAUAUUUAUAUCUUGGCAUAUUUCAUCUAGUAUCCCUAGACAUUUUUUACACUAAUGAACAUACUGUCUAUAAAACAGUUGACUUUCAAAAUAUACAAACAGAUAGAGCCAGAUUUCCUCCAAAAUAGCUUUGUGAAAAUAAAUGUAUUUGUAAAUACAUACAUAUUCAUACACAAUGCUGCAUACAUAUGUGUAUAUGUGUGUAUAAUACACACACACUCACACAUACUCACACACACACACACAGAUAUAUAUAUAAUUUUUUAAAGCAUUUAAAAAUUUACCAGGUAAUCAGGUAAUAUUGCUGGCAAGAGAAUAUAAGCAAUCUUGCUAGUUUUUAGAAUUGGUAAAAUGCAAAAUCAAACAUAAAAUAUGGUUUUGUAUAUAAGCAUAAAAUUGUUACGAUAGUUCCUGCUUUUACUCAGUCUUCUCUUGCAACCACUGUAUCCUGAUCAGGGUUGUGAUUAUAGGAAAUGGAUCAGGAUAGAUUAGAAUCAUGUAGGCUGCCCUUUAUUACUAUUUAUCAUGUAGUAUAUCUAUUGCUAUCCUGCCUUUAGAUGCUUGACUUGUGAAUACUAAAUGCAAAAAAAAAAUGAAUGAACAAAGAAAUAUGUAUUAUUGUAGCAAUAACAAUAAUAAUAUCAAUAAAAUUAUCAAUUAUAAUGAUGAAAAUAUUUCUCCAUAUGAAAAUAUAUAUCUCUUAAUAUAAACAAGAAUUGUUGACAGAACCUACAUUCUUAACUACCAACCUAAACUACACACACACAUUCACACUCACAUGCAUAUAUACAUAUAUGCACAUGCACACACACACAUACACAUAUAUGCACAUAUAUAUAGUUUCCAUGCAGUUUUAAUGAAAAGAACAUUCAAUAACUGUGAUAAAAUGGAUGAUAUUUAGCUCUGAUAGUAUCAGAGAAUCAGCUACACACAUACAGACACACAUAUUGGGGAUGAGAAUCAUUUUAUUAAACAGAAAGCAGUGCAAUUUAAAAAUACAGCCUGAUGGUUGGUACUGUUACCUAGUAUUUCAAUAUUUUAAGGUUAGGAUACCUUCAUCAGGAAAUCUACUUUUUCUCCACAAAUUUCCUGAAGAAGCAGUCCUAAUUCUGAAAUAUUGAAAUAACAGGUAGUACUAACCAGGGAUCUGUAUUUUUAGAUUUUAACUUGCAUUGUUUUACCUUUAGAAAAAUAUUUAAAACAUCUAUAUAUAUUUCAGACAAUGUUGCAGGAAAACUGUAUUACAUAUAUAUAUAUAUAUAUAUAUAUAUGCAUACACAUGUGUGUGUAUGUGUGUGUGCGUUACUGAAAGAGGUACAACACAUGAAGUUGAGGAUCUACCAAACUAAUUAUGCAUUUCCAUAUUUUGUGCACACAAUUUUAAUCUGCAUCUGGUAAUAGAGCCUUGGUACAGGAGUUCUGGGUUUUGAAGAGUGUUGAACCACCUCUUCGCUACUAUUGUUCACAUGCCUACUCAGACCUGGAGUAAUAGCACCUGUUAGGGUCCUAGCUAUGGGUUAACUAGUAUGUGAGCCUCUGGGAGUGAAGAGCCCCUAGUUCUCAUUAGAACUUCCGCUUAAGAGAAGGUAAACUCAUAAAAAAUCCAGAAGUGCAGUCAGUUACUAGUCAUCUCAGCCUCUGUUGUGUCACUGGUGCUAUAGCUGAUUGUGUUGAAAAGUGAGUUCAGUGCUAUGCAAGACUUUAUCUACUCAAAACACAACAAAUUAAUGCACAGGAACUUCUGGCAUGUUUGGACCAUUUGCAUGGACUUACUGAGUUUAGGAAGUGGUCUUACUUGGUCAUGAGUUGACUUUCACCAUAUAUGGACACAUAUACAUAUAUACAUACAUACAUAUAUUUAUAUAUACACACAUAUACAUAUGAGUAUAUAUAUAUAUAUAUAUAUAUAUAUAUAUACACAUAUACAAAUGGGUAUAUAUAAAUAUAAAUAUAUAUAUAUAUAUAUUUCAUUCGCAUUAUCAUUCAACAUCCAUUUUUUAUACUGGCAUGGAUUGGAUGGUUUGAGGAGAGCUGGUAGGAUUCUAGACCACACCAGGCUCCAUAGUCUGUUUUUGGCAUGGUUUCUGUGGCUGGAUGCCCUUCCUAACACCAGCUACUUUGCAAAUUGUAAUGGGUGAUUUUUACAUGGUACCAGCACCUGUGCUUUUUUAUGUGGCACCUCCACCAGUGCUUUUUAUGUGGCACCAGCAUCAGUAUGUUUUAUGUGGCAUCAGCACUGAUAGCAUCAUUGAGUAACUUGCAAGGCAAAACCCCCUUCAGCUGGGGUGGGGAGUAGUAGUGGGCAGAGUGACUUUGUGCCUGUGGAUGAGAAAUUAGUAGUGGUAUAGAGGAACAGGAGUAGGUGUCCUACAGCAGUGCAUGCUACAUUCCUUUCUAGCCUUCACAUAUGCUCUGCAUUCAGGACCUGCAUCUUGCUACCAUUUAGCAUUGAUGUUUGUAUAUAUACUUCAUACAAUCUUCCUUUCACUUGGAGAGAAAGACCUUUGGUUGCCAACAGCAGUAAAAGCUCUCUGAAUUUUCUCCAUCUAAUACUUAUUAUACUCUCUGUACAUCCUCCCCCACUAUUAAUUUGGUCCCCUCGAUAGCAGAAAUUAUCCACUACCUCUAAAGAGCAUCCAGAGCAUUUGAGAGAACCAAUUUCCCAAGUAUCUGCAGUUUUUAUGGCUCCUGUGCAUCUUCUGUAUACAGACACUACUUUCUUUGUUAACCUUCCUGUUAUUCCACUGCACCUCUUGUGUGUACAUAGCUUGCCCUUGCCUUUCCUACAUAUUGAGUAAGGCCAUUUACCUAAUAGGGUAGAACCCUGCUCAUUUUAUUGCUUAGUAAAAACUUAGUCUUUGCUAAGUUAACAUUUAGGCCCUUCAAUUCUAGGUUUUGCUUCCACGCCCGGAAUUUCUUUUCUAAGUUUAUUACAGAAUCUGCUAUGAGAGCCUGGUGGACAAUAAUGACUAGAAGACAGAAAACUGAACUCUGACGAACACCAACAUGUACACUAAAUUCAUUGCUAUACUCAUGGUUAACUCUCACCUUACUGACAGAACCUCUGUACAUGGCCUGUACAUCUUUCACAAGCCACUCAUCAAUCUCUAGCUUCCUCAGAGCCCUCCAUAUUGCACAGUGUGGUACUCAAUGUGUGUAUCCUCAGUUUCAUGUGAUAUAUCAUCUCUUUCAAUAACAUAAAUGUGAUUGAGUGGUCCUUUUUAUUAAGGUUUAGAAAUGUGUAAUUAAUACAUACAUACAUGCAUACAUAUAUAUAUGUAAUUAAUACAUAUACACACACAUAUACACAUGUAUAUAUGCACACACACACAAAUAUAUAAACUCUUCCAUCAUUCAGUCAAAGAUACUUUUGUAAAUAUUUGAUUUUCUGUCCAUUCCUUCAUUAUUUCUCAGUAAUAUUAAAGAAUUAAGUGAAGAAAAAUUACAAAAGAUAGAAUUUAAAUAUAUUCAUGCCUUGCAGACUCACAUCAUUUGGUAACCAAAAACAACUGUAGUUAUUGCUGAGCUUCAUGUUGUAUAGAAACUAUUUAAACUUUCUGAAUGGUGCAAAAAGAAAUGCCCACAAAAAAAAGAGAGAAGAAGCAUCUGCAUGAUCAUAUAUUCAUUUAAGCACACACACACACACACACAUAGAUAGAUAUACAGAGACACACGCCUACAUACAUACAUAUAUACAUAUAUAUAUAGUUAUAUAUUGGUAUGUUACUGAAUGAUUAGUUAUGCUAAUGUUCUCCUUUGUGUUUUUUUAAGUCACAAUAUUGCUACAACUGUACAUAUGUGUGUGUGUGUGUACAUAUGUAUCUAUAUAUAUAUGUAUUUAUGUAUGUAUAUAUUCCUAGGUACCACUAUCAAGAGGAUGUACAUUGGUUUCAUGAUGUUUUGCAUGUUAGGGAUGAGGGAUAUUGUCAUAUUGAUUAUUCUUCUCAUACCCUCUCAUGCUACUAGCUACUUCAGUCCACGUCAACCAGUACAUAUAUAUGUGUGUGUGUGUGUGUGUGUGUGUGUGUGUGUGUGAAUUCACUGAACAAUAAAUUGAACUCAUAUCCACCCUGUAAACUUCAAGCAUUUAUGAAUGCUUUUGCCUUGUAUUACAAACAUUUUAUGGUUGUUGAUUUGCUGUUGCUCUAAGAAAGAAAAAAAAUACAGGCUUUAUAUAAAUUAAAACCUUUACCACAUUGUUUAUCAUUGUUAUUAUAAAAAUAUUUUUUCCUAAUGUUAAAAUCUUAUUCUUCCAGUCAUUUUAUUAGCUAUCAAACUUUGAACAAUCUUAAACAGUAAUAUCAAGCCAACUUACCUAAUCUAAAUUAAAACCUUCUAUCAAAACAACUUCAUGUUAAUUUAUGUUCGAGUCAUCAGCUUAAUAUUGAUCAAGUUAUUUUGAUAAAUUCUUUAAUAUUUCCCAAAUUAAUUGAAACACAGAAAAUGUUUAUCAAAUCAUAUAUGAUAACAAACAUCUUAUAUUCAUAGUACCAUUUUUGCCAUAGGCCAGGUGAGCGAUAGAUUAGGAACUUUAAGCCAAACUUUCUCAAUACAUUUUUGUUAUGGUCUCAGGUUUAGUAAUUUUUGUUCUAUAUUUAAAAAUUUUCAUAU
rnacentral:lncRNA from 1 species